UACGUAGGGGUCCAAGCGUUUAAUCGGAAUUACUGGGCGUAAAGUGUGCGCAGGCGGUUCUGAAAGUCAGCUGUGAAAGCCCCGGGCUUAACCUGGGAAUUGCGGUUGAAACUACAGGGCUAGAAUCUGGCAGAGGGGGGUGGAAUUCCACGUGUAGCAGUGAAAUGCGUAGAGAUGUGGAGGAACACCGAUGGCGAAGGCAGCCCCCUGGGCUGAGAUUGACGCUCAGGCACGAAAGCGUGGGGAGCAAACAGG
rnacentral:rRNA from 1 species